rnacentral:rRNA from 1 species
GACGAACGCUGGCGGCGUGCCUAAUACAUGCAAGUAGGACGCAGUUGCGAACGGGUGAGUAACGCGUAGGUAACUACCUAUUAGAGGGGGAUAACUAUUGGAAACGAUAGCUAAUACCGCAUACUAGUAGAUGGACCUGCGUUGUAUUAGCUAGUAGGUAGGGUAAUGGCCUACCUAGGCAACGAUACAUAGCCGAACCGAGAGGGUGAACGGCAACAAGGGGACUGAGACACGGCCCAGACUCCAACGGGAGGCAGCAGUGGGGAAACUUCGGGAAUUGGGGGAACCCUGGCCGAGCAACGCCGCGUGAGUGAAGAAGGUUUUCGGGUCGUAAAACUCUGUUGUUAAGGAAGCGGUACUUAACCAGAAAGGGACGGCUAACUACGUGCCAGCAGCCGCGGUAAUAC